rnacentral:rRNA from 1 species
AGAGUUUGAUCMUGGCUCAGAAUCAACGCUGGCGGCGUGCCUCAGACAUGCAAGUCGAACGAUUAAAGCUCUCUUCGGAGAGUGCAUAGAGUGGCGCACGGGUGAGUAACACGUAAGUAAUCUACCUUUGAGUGGGGAAUAACGUUCGGAAACGAACGCUAAUACCGCAUAAUGCAGCGGCACCGCAAGGUGACAGUUGUUAAAGGAGCAAUCCGCUUAAAGAGGAGCUUGCGGCAGAUUAGCUUGUUGGUAAGGUAACGGCUUACCAAGGCUACGAUCUGUAUCCGGUCUAAGAGGACGGUCGGACACACUGACACUGAAUAACGGGUCAGACUCCUACGGGAGGCAGCAGUCGGGAAUUUUGGGCAAUGGGCGAAAGCCUGACCCAGCAACGCCGCGUGAAGGAUGAAGUAUUUCGGUAUGUAAACUUCGAAAGAAUAGGAAGAAUAAAUGACGGUACUAUUUAUAAGCUCCGGCUAACUACGUGCCAGCAGCCGCGGUAAUACGUAGGGAGCAAGCGUUGUUCGGAUUUACUGGGCGUAAAGGGCGCGUAGGCGGCGCGGUAAGUCACUUGUGAAAUCUCUGAGCUUAACUCAGAACGGCCAAGUGAUACUGCAGUGCUAGAGUGCAGAAGGGGCAAUCGGAAUUCUUGGUGUAGCGGUGAAAUGCGUAGAUAUCAAGRGGAACACCUGAGGUGAAGACGGGUUGCUAGGCUGACACUGACGCUGAGGCGCGAAAGCUAGGGGAGCAAACGGGAUUAGAUACCCUGGUAGUCC